GGGGCGGGCCGAACGACGCAGCCGGGACGGCAGCUGCAGCGCGGACCGGAGGAGCCAUCUUGUCUCGUCGCCGGGGAGUCAGGCCCCUAACUCAAAGAAGCCCUGGCGCGCCCUCCCCCCCUUCCCGGUCUGGUAGGGCGAAGGAGCGGGCGCGCAGUCGAUCGAGCGAUCGGUUGGCGGCUCUUUCUCCUGCUCUGGCAUCCAGCUCUUGGGGCGCAGGCCCGGCCGCCGCGGCGCGCGCCCGGUGGCCGUUGGCGCUCGCGCCGCGUCUUUCUUCUCGUACGCAGAACUCGGGCGGCGGCCUAUGCGUUUGCGAUUCGACGAGGAGUCGUCCGGGUGGUUGGCGGCGGCGGGCAGCUGCUCCGCCCCGCUCCCGGGGAGGCGGCGGCGGCGGGAUUUGGCGCGGCCGGGGAAGCUGGGGUGGCCGGGGCCGGCCUGGAGGCCUGGCGCCACCCUUCGGGGCCUGCAAGGACCCAAUUGGGAGGGCAGGAGGGAGCCGGGGGAUGGUUGGUGGUGGGCUUUCUACUUUGCCUUUUCCUCCUUAUGCCGCCUUAGUGAGGGGCGGGAGCUCUGGCGGCAACUCCGGGGUGGAGAAGCGAGCUCCGGAGUCGGAAGAGCUGUGUUUGCUUCCGGGCCUAGCCACCAGCUGGCCGAGUGACCUUAAGCAAGUCACUCAGUAAUUUGUCUGCGCCUCAGUUUCCUCCUCUAUCAACGUUUGUGGGAUUGAAAGCGCUUUGUAAACCAUAAAGCGUCGGUGGAUGAAAGGAAUGAUUAUUGUUCGUUAUAGUUGGCUUUUUUUUUUUUUUUUUGGAGUUGUAAGAAAACUUAGAAAUUCCCAGUCCUUGGAUAUUGAACCUGGAAACCUUGGAUUGGAGAUGGAGAUCCCCAAACUCCCUGAAAUUGUGUGCAGAAGUUAGUGGGAAUAUGCAAUUAAGGGAAAUGAGGAUCCAUCACCAUCAAGUUUUCAGAGGGGGCUGUGACCCGGAAGAGUUAAGAACCACAGUUCCUUUGCCACAAGGAGGAAACUGAGGCUUAGAUGUCAUUUGGGACCCGUAACAACCAAGUUGAAGCCCCUGUUGAAUCCCUGGGAUAUGUGAGCUGUUCUAUGCAUAGUGGAUAUUCGGGGUAACAACACUCCACUGCUUGGCUUCUGUUCUGAGUCCUUUCACUAUGGGUUGCCUGAAGGGCGGCUGAUGCUUAUGGUACAUUGACACCCAAUAUAAAGCAGCUGAAACUAGGAGUGGAUGUGUUCUCUAGUGUCAAGAAGCCUAUUCAAUCUUUGGCCCAACAACUUUUUAUUUUCUGGUGCCUGACUACCGUUCUGACUCUUUCAUUGACCAUUUUCCAUGACCAUGGUUGCCAUCCGUUACUUGCUCUUGUUUUAUAUUCCUAGUUCUGUGUGGUUGGUAGUGAGCAGGCUUAUUUUUAAAUGGUGCUGCCAAGUCCAGCUAAUUAAUGGUGCAGGUGGGUUUUUAGCAAGCUGCCUCACUGGAAUAGACUGAACUAGACAUGGAAUUCCUGAAGAUGUUUGUUUUUAUUAAUUGAAGGUUGACAUUCUCUGAAAAGUUUUGUUAGAACUUCCUCUGAACCUCAAAGUCAGUAGUCUGGAAGUGUUUCAAACCUUAACUUUCCUCCCUGCCUGCUUUGUAUUCUCUUUGCUUGCAAGUGUGUUAUUAAGAUGGCCAAAAUGCCAGUUUUUGCUUCUUUGUUAAUUGUCAGCUGCUUUUUAUCAGAUUCCAGGCCAUUGUCCAGCAAACACUAUAGAAAUGUUUGAACACUUGGAUUUCAAACAUUUUCGUUUUGUGGAGUGGUGCUUACCGUGGUACAGCUCUAAGUAAGCAAAUGCAAACACACUUAAGUGUUUUGUCUGUUAGGUGUUAGCCGGUUCUGCUAUUUCAUACAAAUGUCUGGAAAAAAUCAAUUGACUGUUCCCUUUACCUGGAGGGCAGAGACAAAUGAUCUCAAUUCCAGAGAAAUGACUGUUUUGGAGACAAAUGUGUUGGUCUUUUAGCUCUUUUGUAAUUAAAUCUGGAUGUACCUCAAAAGAAUCUUGAGACUGUGGUGAUACUAUGCUUUCCUCAGGAGAAAGGAGGAGAAAACCAACUGGAACUCAAAGCUUGAAAUUCUGUGACAAAACAUGAACUGUCCAGAAUAGGAGGUUGAAAGGGUUUCACUACAGCGUUCUGCACUCGCUGGAACCGAUGUCUUUCAGUGUCAUCACCGCAUGGGCUCCAGAUUUCCAGAAUUUCAAGAACUGGAUCUGGGACCUGGAAGAAAAUACCAGGGUGUGACAGGAACUCGGGAGCUGGACUUGUUUUUGAAUUUGAGGAGUGUUGUCCUUGUUGUGAAAAAGAGACAGUGACCGAGCAAGCACUGCCACCAGCGCUAUCACUGGAAAUCCGGAGACCACCAAACGCUCAGUGCAAACUCGGGCGAUGCUCCAUCCAAAGUGAACUACGUCCUGUGCCUCCUGGUUGCCGAGUGUUCAUCUGGAUCUUCUGAUCACCUUUGUGCUAUUCCAUCAGCCUACAGAUCUGGUACCUGGAUUUUUGCCCAUGGUGAUGGAUUCUGCCACCUCAGUACUGAAGAAGACAUCAUUCCAGUGGACCACUGUGAUCUAGGAGGCGUAUCCAGCGAAUCAUGAUGUGGCCUUCACCUCCGCUCCCAUCCUGUUCUACCCAGAUUCAACACAGCCUUUUGUAGUGAAGUUCAACUUCUCAAGCCAAAUAGCUGAAGCUGUUUUAUCACAACAAAGGUUCAGCUUGUUCCAUAAGUGUGCAUUUCGUUUCUCCAGUUAAAGCUUUCAGAGACACAUAAUAAAUUUGGACCAGGGGAUUUUUAGUUAUCAGCACUGUCUGAAGAAUGGCAGCAUCUUUUUGAGAACCAUAUCGGACCACGCCCCACUGUCUCAAAUGAUUGAAAUUCAGGAAUUGUCUAAUCUGGACCCCAUUCUUUUUCCAUUUAAAAUCUGUAGUAGCCUACUGAAUGAGCAAGCAGAUAUUCUGACCCGUUGGGAUUAAAACAAAGGCACAGUGAACUCACAGCAUCUUCUUUGGGAUUACUCAGGAACCAGAACUUUUCACACAAAUGUAAGAAAUUCUACCAAGGAAUCCCUUUACCUAACAGCAUCUCACAAAGCUCCAAUCAGAUUCCAGAAAAGGCCUCUUGAUACAUCCAGGUAGAACCUAUAUGGUAAUCCCUUAUGUUUAUCUAGCACUUUACAGUUUCAAAGCACUUUCACUUGUAUUAAUCUUAAUUACCAAAUAACUCAAAUUAUAAUCCCUUUUUGCAGAUAAGGAAAUGGAAAUUUAAAAGUUAUCCAAGGUUACACAGCUGCAAAAUGGUAGAAGCCAGGCCUUCUGACUCCCAGUCCAGUUCUCUCUUUGAAAUUAACUUAGCCUCUAUUUUAUGUGCAGUGUUAAAAUAACUGGAGAUUGGGAACCCCAGAAAAGUUUUCAACUUCCUGAUCUCAGUCAGUGCCCUCAGUCAGUUAGGAUGUCAGAGAUGUGAUUUUGCCAUAGUUGUGCCUGGACCUGAAGUCCAUGGCAUCAUCUCUGAGGUUUGGCAGUAGUAGACUGUCUUUAUGGUAGUAUAUUCAUCUGACAACAAGAUUACCCAUUAGAAAACACAAAGCUACUUUUAGAUCUUCCAUCCAUCUUUGUGGUCUUCACAAAGAUGGCCUAGUUGAUUGGGGAUCCCUGUUGAUUCCAUGUCUUCCUUUUUCUUUUUUUAAUUCUUAAUAAUAUUCCCAGACACCAACUCUGUGGUGCUCUAUCCCCAAAUUAAUAUUUACAUAGAAUGAGCCAUCAGUUUUUUUUAGAACAGUACUGUUCAUAUGUAUGUGUGUGUAUGUAUAUAUUUGAUAUACACAUGUAAUAUGUAUCAUAUAUAAAGAGCUUCUGUAGUCCAAUAAUGUGGUAAAAUACUGUAAAAUGUGUCCCCUUCCCUGAUUGUUAAUGCAGUGUAGUGUAUUAAAGGAUCUCAAAAGGCUUACAUAAAGAGCCUCAUUUAGUUGUUUGGCCCAGUGUGUCCUAAGUUUAAUCAAAUACAUAAUGUUAUUUUUGUAGCAUUUCUUUUAAUGGAAUGGGAAAACUUCUUUAGAGCAAUAUAGCCAGUGUUUCCUGAUUGCCAACAUAACUGCCCUGGAGACCUAGGAAUACAGUAUCUUUGGAACCCACCCCCCCACCCCACCCCCCCGCUUUUUUUCUUACCUUGUCAAUAACUUCUUGAAUUAGUAUGUCUUUAUCAUCUGAGAAGCCUACAUUUUGACAGUUAGCUUUGUUUUCUGUCAAAGAAACCUCUAGAAGAUUUGUGGGGCUACAUGGGAGAGGGGUGUGGGGAAGUUAAUUCUGCCAGAAAGAUGGAUUAAUUCUAUGAUGUUUGUGCUGUAAAUCUAGUUUAAGGGAACUACAUCUCAGGUGAGUGAGGAGGGAAGAGGAGAAAAAUAGAGUAAAAGGGAAUGGAUGAGAAGGAGAUAUUUUCUUAGGAUUUAAGUUGUGGCCCAUUGAAAUCUUAUAAUACUUGAAGUCAUCCAGGCAAGGACUUCUUGAAAUAAUAUUUACAAAGAAACUAAUGCAUUUUGCAGUCAUUUGCUGACUGCAAGAAAACCCAGCGCUAUUGUCACUUAAAACCAAUAGCCUUGCCCUGAUAGUCACGUAAAGCCCAAUCAGGCAAUCUGAGUUUGUAGCAGACUGGAAUGUUAACUUCUUCAUUUUGUAAUGUGGCCCACACUAGAGAAGGAAUAAAUAGGAAAAUGGUUUGGCUUACCACAGGCUUUGCUCACAGUUUCUGGUUUCUGUGACCUAUUUUUUUUAUUUCAGCAUUUUGUGAACAACUUACUCUUAGAUCAUUGGUUUUCCAAAGGCUUUGUGGCCAUGAAGCCCUUUGAAUGAAAACUUUAUGGAAGCCCAGAGUAAAAGUGAAGCUGCUCUGGAGGAAGCAGAAGUGGGGGGCCUGAAACCUGCCACAAGCAUCUUACUUUACCAUCAUGGUGACACCUAAGGAGACUUCUUUACAACAACUAGAAUUCUUCAGAACACAGUUUGGAAACCACUGCCCUAGACAACAGUAUGUUUGACCUGAAUGGCAUUCUGUUCUGUACCUCUACCCAACAUGUCGGUGUUCAGUUGAUAAUGAGCAUUCUUAGAAAUACUCAGAGAGUGCAAGAAGAUGGACAUAUCUUUGCCCCCAAGAUUAGUCAUAUGGGCUGAAAGUAAUAUCAAAUGGACCUAGAAUAAUAGCCCUCUAACCACAAAUAGACUUCCAGUGAUUCCUGAAUGAUACAGCCAGAGAGCAAUUUGUACGUUACACUGACAAACCCCCUUAUUCAACUUCUUCCACAAACACCGGAUGCUCUAGUGGUACUUAAAAUGCAUGACCUUGAAGUCUUGAUCCUCCUUGAAUACAGUGAACACCAAGUAUUGAAGCUGAUGCCUCAUUGAGGCAGUAUUAGACCAGCUAUACAUUGGACCUCCCAUUCUCAGCCAUGGUACUCUACUUCGUGUGCAAGGGAUAACUAUAAACUAUGAAAGCAGAAUUCAGAGACUGGCAACAUUACCUAAAAGGGCACCUGAUGAUUAUUCAUCUUCUCAAACUACAUCAACUAUCACUCAGCCAUUGGCAGUUACACUACUACUUGGUUUUUAUUCAGUUUAACUGCUGUUUCCAGAAUAAAGAAGCAAAUAACCUUUGAAAAACUGCUAAAACAAUUCCUCCAUCACUGGCACAUCUGCCUGUUCUGCUCAGAAAUUAGGAGUACGCAGCUCCACAUGUAAUACCUGAUCCACAAGAGACAAUCUCUGAACACCCUUUUCUUGUGUGUGUAAUUUAAAAUGUGGCCAUUGUAAAAAUUUUCUUCCAGCCAAUGAGAGAGUUUAAGAUGAAUCUUUUGAUGUCUGAUACCAUCAGUUGUUGAUGUUAAUGAUAUUUAGAGGUAGGCCUUUGGAUCAGGCCUUGAUAGCUUACUUGGUGGGCAUCUCAAAUUCCAUAUCUACCUUUUUGCUGGAAAUGUAGACUAACGUGAAAGGAAAUCUACAAAGCCUGCAGCUAAAGAGUUUUAUCAAUAGGCUCAAGCUUCUUGAGUCUUCCUAAUGUCACAAGACCACGGUCCCUUGUCCUUGUGGAUGUUUCCAUGGAAUUUCAUCUGUUGUUUUAACUGAAUCACAGUGGCUGACUUCAUUCCUUGUCAUGAAGUACUCUCAGGCAUUAAGACAACUUGUCUGUUCAGGAGGGAUUUGAUACAUGAAUUCCCAGACCAGAUCAUGUAGAACAAGUAGACUUUAAUCCACGCCCUGAGAAAAAAAUCUUAUUUCUUCAGAAUUGACUUAAGGGCCAGCUGUCCUCAACUACUUUAAUGAAUGCACUGGUUAAAAGUUGGGAAUGUUUAUAUCUUUGUCUCUUAUCCUCUACACUAAUUGUGAUUAUGUGACUCAGUGUACAAAUCAUCAAACAAAGCCUAAGUCUGGUUAUUCUAUACUGCUCAUCUUCAACAAAAUCUGAUGACUAGCCUGCUUGUGUAUAUACAACUAUUAUUUGUAAAGAAGAAAUUGUCUACAAACUCUGUAUUUUCACUACCUUCAUAAUGUCAAGUCGAUUUUCUUUUUCUCCUGGACUUGACCAGAAGAUAACAUUGAUCUAUCACUGCCAGUCAUUCCCUUUAACCCUGUUAAAAUGAGAGACUUAAAAAGGUAAAGAUGAUCAUCUGUUCAAGAGUCUAAUGUAUGCUGUGUAUAAGAAUUGAUGGUGGAAAAAGCCUAAAACUCAAACCUAGUAACUAUCUCCAUGCCUCAGAUCUCAACUUGCAGCAGUACCAUUCAACCAGUCUGAGGCCUUGACUUGUUGAUAAGAUGUUUCUCAGAGAUGAGCUGAAUUACAGAAGAUGGAGACUUGAUUACCAAAGAAAGUAGGGCCAACCUUGAUGAACCUGGCUCUCCCAACCCUGUCACUCCCAGAUGUAGCAUAGACUCCUAAACAGAGCCUCAAGUCUGGAUUUAAGAGAUACCCUUCUCCUGAGCUGAAAGUUCUUGGACAGAUCAGCAGGAAAGUGAAAGUUGCUAUACCUGACUGGCCCUUUAAGAUCAGAAAAUUGUAUCUAGAGUAAACCGUAUGGAUUAACCCUGGAAUACUCAGGGUUAAAGCUAAUUUACAGAACUUCAACGUUAAACUGCCUGUUUUUCCAGAUCUUAGCCUGGCUACUGAUAUGACUGGCCCUGCUGAAGGUACCUUACUUGUCUAUUUACCUGACUCAGCCAUUGCCUGCCUUUCUGACAUGUUGCUGCAAUCAGACACUGUCCUUCAGAAGACUACAGCUGAUCUCGGCUAUCUUAUAUCCAUUUCCACCAAGAAGUUUUGAACAGAAGCAACCUGUACUUCUGUACUCUCUGGGACUUUGUUCACAACAGGAAGGAGCAUGCUACAUACUCCUUGACCAGCAGAUUUUUUUUUUUUAACUGCAGAGUAAGUCUCUAUGCCUAUAUAUAUUAGAUCAUCAUUUUCAGCACUUGGGACCCUUUCUGCCAGAUCUGAAGGAGCAGAGCAGAUUGAAAGCACUGUCCAUUCCUCCAUUCUAUGGUCAUACGGAGAUGAAUCUGAUUUACCAGUAUUCACAGAAACAUACCAGUUCAACUUGGCAAAAGACUUAAAGGAACAUAAAACUUUACCACUGAACUUAAAAUUUACCACUGACUUGAGGACGUCUCACAGAACUCUUUGCCAGUGGGAGGCUGGUUGUCCUGUUUCAUGUCAGCAAGACAGUUGGGCUCUUAGGCUCAUGACGACUGAGUUUACUUACAUUGAAACUCGUGUAUCAUCCAGAUAUGGUAUUGGACAUGAUUAUUCCAUUCAGAUGGAUUACAAGCCUCCUGAGUAGAAGACAAACUUACUACUCAUGAUUUUUUUCGAGAAUACUUUUAUCAUCAAGGAAGGAACAAUGCCAGUGGUUACCAUUCUACUUUAUGAGCAGAGAUUAAACUUUUUCAGUAUCUGGUCUUACCACUGACAUCAGUUGUUUUUGAUUGACCAGCCUCCAUUCCAUUCCUUUGUAACAACUCCCUGAUGUUUCUUCGAACCUCCUCUCCCUUUCUUCAGUCCACAUGGUUCAAUCUGACCUAAUCUUAGGUUUCAUGGAUGGACAUGUAAUUCAGACCUGAUCAAUCAGCACAGUCCAUCUCCUUGACCAUAGUGAUUGAUGCAGGAUUGGUCAUGUGAUUCAAGUUGGUCCAGUGAUUCUCAACCCUAAGAGUUUUAGUGAACUACGGAAGAGAAGCUCUUUACUGAGAUUGCUUAGCUCUGUAGGAUGAAAAGCUCAAACCAACAGGGCCCAACAUAUCAAAUGAGCCAGUCGGAGAAUGAAGCCAGUACAGAGGAAAAUGGAGCCAAAUGAUGGAGAGACUUGAGUCCUGAUGACAAUGUUUGUGCCCCCUGGAUCAAACCGUGCCUGAAGCUAGUAUAUCCCCUGGACUUUUCAGUUAUGUGAAUCAAUAAAUACCCUUCUUUGCUUAAGUUA